UCCGUCCUACUUUAACCAUAAUUCAUUCAUACCUAACAAAAUAGGUAAUGUUAAGAAACUAAAAGAAGAAGAGCAAGAAUAUGAGAGAAGAAGAGUAUUCUUAUUGAUGUGACUCAAACAUACAAGAGUGAGCACUAUUUAUAGGCUCAUGAUACAUAACCCCUAAUGACUAACAUAAUUACACUUGAAUGGGAGAUAAUGGUAUUGAUUCUCAUGGUUAAUGUAUAGGUUACACAAUGGGCAUUCAUGCACCAUAAUAACAAUAUUCAUAACACUCCCCCUUGAAUGUCCAUUGCAUAAGAAUAUAUAUUAUGUUCUUCGAGUACAAUAUUGAUACUGCCUCAUUAAAAACCUUACCAGGAAAACUCAGUGGGAACAAUCAUGGUUAAGGUAAAAAGAGUACAGUUGCGUAUUGACUCCCCCUGAUGAUGACAUCCGUUGAUAUCCUUCACAUCGACUCCCCCUGAUGAGGAUAUCAACUCUCGCUCAUCAUUAUAUCAGUUGAGAUCAUUCAGUCACCAACUCCAAAUUUUC
rnacentral:lncRNA from 1 species